rnacentral:rRNA from 1 species
UACAGAGGUCCCAAGCGUUGUUCGGAUUCAUUGGGCGUAAAGGGUGCGUAGGUGGCGGGGUAAGUCGGAUGUGAAAUCUCGGGGCUCAACCUCGAAACUGCAUUCGAUACUGCCUUGCUAGAGUACUGGAGAGGAGAUCGGAAUUCCCGGUGUAGCAGUGAAAUGCGUAGAGAUCGGGAGGAACAUCUGUGGCGAAGGCGGCCAUCUGGACCAGCACUGACACUGAGGCACGAAAGCGUGGGGAGCAAACAGG